GCAGCCGCGGUAAUUCCAGCUCCAAUAGCGUAUAUUAAAGUUGUUGUGGUUAAAAAGCUCGUAGUUGGAUCUCGGCGAACAGGGGGCGGUUCGUUAUUUGACGGUACUGCCCCAUUUGUUCGUAUUUUUGCAAGAGGGUUGGGGGUCCCCUUCAUUGGGUGUCUCCGGUCGCUUGCAGGUUUACUUUGAAAAAAUUAGAGUGCUCAAAGCAGGCUUACACGCUUGAAUAUUCGUGCAUGGAAUAAUAGAAUAGGAAGUCGUUUCUAUUUUGUUGGUUUUCGGAAAAUGACUUAAUGAUUAAUAGGGACAAUCGGGGGCAUUAGUAUUCAAACGACAGAGGUGAAAUUCUUGGACCGUUUGAAGACUAACUACUGCGAAAGCAUUUGCCAAGAGUGUUUUCAUUAAUCAAGAACGAAAGUUAGAGGUUCGAAGGCGAUCAGAUACCGCCCUAGUUCUAACCAUAAACGAUGCCAGCUAGCGAUCUGCGGGCGUUCAAUUUUAAGGCCCCGCGGGAAGCUUCCGGGAAACCAAAGCAUGUGGGUUCCGGGGGAAGUAUGGUUGCAAAGCUGAAACUUAAAGGAAUUGACGGAAGGGCACCACCAGGAGUGGAGCCUGCGGCUUAAUUUGACUCAACACGGGAAAUCUCACCAGGCCCGGACACUGGAAGGAUUGACAGAUUGAGAGCUCUUUCUCGAUUCAGUGGGUGGUGGUGCAUGGCCGUUCUUAGUUGGUGGAGUGAUUUGUCUGGUUAAUUCCGAUAACGAACGAGACUCUGUCCUGCUAAAUAGUUUCCCGAUCUCUGAUUGUCGGGAAAAUUCUUCUUAGAGGGACUGGCGGAUCCUAGCCGCACGAGAUUGAGCAAUAACAGGUCUGUGA
rnacentral:rRNA from 1 species